UUUAAAACUGUCGAAACUUUGAAAUUCCAAUAUUCUUCAGGCAGUUGCAAAACGUUCAAAGUUUCUAAAAACCCUGUGAUGUCUCAA
ensembl:ncRNA ZK381.44 ncRNA